CCCGGGGGCAUCCGAACCCUAGAAAGCUUCCUUCCCCAGACAAGGGAGCUCUCGCCACACCCAGCAGAGCUUUUUGGAGAAAGUCCAGUUUGGACAGGCUGAUGAGCAGCACCCUACUCACCAAGUCCUGGGAGGGACAACACAGAAGGCAUGGAUGGCUCUCUGCUCCUCUCUAUUCCAGAAACAUCCAUGACUUCUCAUGAAGUACCAGCCUCAUGCUUGACACACAAUGAUGAAGGUUGGAAUGAAUAGAUUUGACUGAAUUGGGCACCUGAUUACCAGGGCUUCCUUCAACUCUGGAAAAGUGGACAUUGUUGCCAUCACUUACCCCUUCAUUGACCUCAAUUACAUGGUCUAUAUGUUCUAGUGUAACUCUACUCACAGUCAAGCUCAAUGGCACAAUCAAGGCUGAGAAUGGGAAGCUUGUCAUCAAUGGGAAGGCCAUCACCAUCUUCCAGGAGUAAGAUACCACAGACAUCAAAU
rnacentral:lncRNA from 1 species